CGGCCCGCGUUUGGAUUGGCGGAGAAAGCGCACCUCGCCCAAUGGGAAUAAAGAAUAACGCGCAGAUUAUCUAUUUUUUACCUGAUUUUUUUUGAUAAGCUCGCCAGUGUUUAACUGAUGGUUGAACUGGUUGCGAAUUAAGUUGCACCUUCGACGAGGAAUUAGCAAGUCGCGAAUUUCAUAAGAUCGAGGAAGAUCAAAAAGUAAGAAAAAACGGCCAACUUGGAGGGAAUAUUACGUGGCAAGAAAUGGCAGAAGCUGGAACUUUCAAGAAGAUAUUGUGACCUAACUUUGGAGCAAAAAAUUAAUUAAAAAAAUUUAUUAUAACGAGACAUCAAUUACGUUAAAAAAUCUCGUUAAAAGAUUUUAUGUGUCCCACAUGCAGCGUUCUGAGAACCCUUGAGGAUAGAUUGUGCCACCAUUCGAGAAAGGGCAUACAGCUUGCUCCGCUCACCGGAAAAUCCCAAACUUUUUCAUUUCAGGAUGUGCCUGCGUUCACUCAAAAAAUGUUGGUAUAUAUAUGACAAGUUUUAGAAAUUAAAACAAACAAAUGUGAUUAAGGUAACCAAAAAUUAAAAGUUUCGCAUAUUUUAAA